rnacentral:rRNA from 1 species
UAGGGAAUCUUCCGCAAUGGACGAAAGUCUGACGGAGCAACGCCGCGUGAGUGAAGAAGGAUUUCGGUUCGUAAAACUCUGUUGUUAGGGAAGAAAAAAUGUAUAGUAACUAUAUACAAAAGAGACGGUACCUAACCAGAAAGCCACGGCUAACUACGUGCCAGCAGCCGCGGUAAUACGUAGGUGGCAAGCGUUGUCCGGAAUUAUUGGGCGUAAAGCGCGCGCAGGUGGUUUAGAAAGUCUGAUGUGAAAGCCCACGGCUCAACCGUGGAGGAUCAUUGGAAACUAAUAAACUUGAGUGCAGGAGAGAAAAGUGGAAUUCCUAGUGUAGCGGUGAAAUGCGUAGAGAUUAGGAGGAACACCGGUGGCGAAAGCGGCUUUUUGGCCUGCAACUGACACUGAGGCGCGAAAGCGUGGGGAGCAAACAGG